GUUGCUCGGAAUCACUGGGCGUAAAGGGCGUGUAGGCGGGAAGGAAAGUCAGAUGUGAAAUCCCCAGGCUCAACCUGGGAACUGCAUUUGAAACUCCCUUUCUUGAGUACCGGAGAGGAAAGCGGAAUUCCUGGUGUAGAGGUGAAAUGCGCAGAUAUCAGGAGGAACACCGGUGGCGAAGGCGGGUCUCUGGGCAGUUACUGACGCUGAGGAGCGAAAGCGUGGGGAGCGAACAGG
rnacentral:rRNA from 1 species